UACGUAGGUGGCAAGCGUUGUCCGGAAUUAUUGGGCGUAAAGCGCGCGCAGGCGGUCCUUUAAGUCUGAUGUGAAAGCCCACGGCUCAACCGUGGAGGGUCAUUGGAAACUGGGGGACUUGAGUACAGAAGAGAAGAGUGGAAUUCCACGUGUAGCGGUGAAAUGCGUAGAGAUGUGGAGGAACACCGGUGGCGAAGGCGGCAUUCUGGACUGUAACUGACGCUGAGGAACGAAAGCCAGGGGAGCAAACGGG
rnacentral:rRNA from 1 species